GUGAUAUAUCUGAAAUAAUAUGCAUAUACACAUUUCAGAAUUUAAAAUCGAAAUAUUUAUUUCAAAAUAAAAGAUUUCCACACAGACACAUGAAUUUGGCCUAAAGCUCAAUACACAUCCGCAAAACAGCCAUGAAUGUUUUUCAAAUUGACUCAAAUCUCAAACUUGGCAAAUAAUUUUCAACCUAGUACAUACUCAUUACAAAAUUUGAUCUGGUGAAAUGAGACAAUGGGUUAUCAACUCAUACUAAUGCAAGAUAAUGAAUGCACCUUUAACCAAAACAUCAGUUUUGUCAUUUGAAAUUAAUAUAGAGUAAUUUUUUUCAAGUGAAAGUAAACCCCCACAAACCCAAAUUUUUUAUGGCCAAAUUAGCAUCCUUACAAAUACUUUUUUUUUUUUUUUUUACAUAAAGUGCAGUUUGAUAACCAGAACUACAGAAGAAGCACUGAUGAACUAUGAGCAGGAAGUAUUGUAUUUACAACUAUACAUACAGUGCAUGCAAGUAUGCACAUGCUUAUUUUGCUUCUCGUUUCCUCUACACCAUUUAUAACCCCAUUUAUGAAAUAUUUUAUGUAUUUUACAAAGCAAGUAUUCUUGAUGUCUUACAUUGUCAUUACUGUCAUCAGUUGGACAAAGCAAAGCUGUCGAUCAAAGUUAAAUGACAGAUUUAGGUUCACAGACCAAAAUUAGGAUGAAUAAAUCUGCAUCUUUGAUUACGUGCGGAAAUUAGAGAUGAAUGAAUAACUGACGCAUAAAGCAGGUGCAUUCAACCAUCUUGUGAUUGACUCAAAGAAACACAGAAACACCACAUUGUAACAGUGAGAUAUCCAGCAUACGCCAAACACUGUGCACAGCAAAAUACGACUAUCCAAAAAUACCACUUUGGAAAUGUUUUUAUUAUCAUUAUAAUAAAUUUAAAUGUAUUACCAAAGGAACAACACUGCCUUACAUAUUGCUGUUUUUGUAGGUUGUUUUCUGUCUUUCAACAGUUAAAGCAAUAAAAAGAGAGAGAGAGAUGGAGGGAGAGAGAGAGAGAGAGAGAGAGAAAACAGACA